AACGUAGGGGGCCAGCGUUACUCGGAAUUACUGGGCGUAAAGGGUCUGUAGGCGGUGCGGCAAGUCGGAAGUGAAAUCGCAGGGCUUAACUCUGCGGCUGCUUCCGAAACUGCCGUGCUCGAGUGUGAGAUAGGCGAGUGGAAUUGCAGGUGUAGCGGUGAAAUGCGUAGAUAUCUGCAGGAACAUCCGAGGCGAAAGCGGCUCGCUGGAUCACAACUGACGCUGAGAGACGAAAGCUAGGGGAGCAAACAGG
rnacentral:rRNA from 1 species